UACGAAGGGUGCAAACGUUGCUCGGAAUCAUUGGGCGUAAAGCGCACGUAGGCGGCCCUGCAAGUCGGAUGUGAAAUCCCACGGCUCAACCGUGGACGUGCAUUCGAAACUGCUUGGCUCGAGUAUGGAAGAGGGUCGCGGAAUUCCCGGUGUAGAGGUGAAAUUCGUAGAUAUCGGGAGGAACACCAGUGGCGAAGGCGGCGACCUGGGCCAAUACUGACGCUGAGGUGCGAA
rnacentral:rRNA from 1 species